rnacentral:rRNA from 1 species
CCUACGGGGGCUGCAGUGGGGAAUAUUGGACAAUGGGCGAAAGCCUGAUCCAGCCAUGCCGCGUGUGUGAAGAAGGCCUUCGGGUUGUAAAGCACUUUCAGUGGGGAAGAAAGCCUUGGGGCUAAUACCCUCGAGGAAGGACAUCACCCACAGAAGAAGCACCGGCUAACUCCGUGCCAGCAGCCGCGGUAAUACGGAGGGUGCGAGCGUUAAUCGGAAUUACUGGGCGUAAAGCGCGCGUAGGCGGUCUGAUAAGCCGGUUGUGAAAGCCCCGGGCUCAACCUGGGAACGACAUCCGGAACUGUCAGGCUAGAGGGCAGGAGAGGAAGGUAGAAUUCCCGGUGUAGCGGUGAAAUGCGUAGAGAUCGGGAGGAAUACCAGUGGCGAAGGCGGCCUUCUGGACUGACACUGACGCUGAGGUGCGAAAGCGUGGGUAGCAAACAGGAUUAGAUACCCUAGUAGUC